rnacentral:piRNA from 1 species
UCAGCCUCGUGGGGUCUACUAGAAUGA